rnacentral:rRNA from 1 species
GACGAACGCUGGCGGCGUGCCUAAUACAUGCAAGUUGAGCGCUGAAGGUUGGUACUUGUACCAACUGGAUGAGCAGCGAACGGGUGAGUAACGCGUGGGGAAUCUGCCUUUGAGCGGGGGACAACAUUUGGAAACGAAUGCUAAUACCGCAUAAAACCUUUAAACACAAGUUUUAAGUUUGAAAGAUGCAAUUGCAUCACUCAAAGAUGAUCCCGCGUUGUAUUAGCUAGUUGGUGAGGUAAAGGCUCACCAAGGCGAUGAUACGUAGCCGACCUGAGAGGGUGAUCGGCCACAUUGGGAAUGAGACACGGCCCAAACUCCCACGGGAGGCAGCAGUAGGGAAACUUCGGCAAUGGACGAAAGUCUGACCGAGCAACGCCGCGUGAGGGAAGAAGGGUUUCGGAUCGUAAAACGCUGUUUGUAGGGAAGAACGUUGGUGAGAGUGGAAAGCUCAUCAAGUGACGGUAACUACACAGAAAGGGACGGCUAACUACGUG